rfam:Schistosoma haematobium scaffold383_15, whole genome shotgun sequence.
CUCCUGUUGAAGAGUCCGAAAUAGGACGAAACGCGAUUCUUGAAU